AGUUAAGCUAAUAAGAGCACACGGAGGAUGCCUAGGCGCUAGGAGCCGACGAAGGACGUGGCGAACGACGAAAUGCCUCGGGGAGCCGUAAGCAGGCUUCGAUCCGGGGAUGUCCGAAUGGGGGAACCCACGUGAGGUAAUGCUCACGUACCCAGCAGUGAAUACAUAGCUGCUGAGGAGGCAUACGAGGGGAACUGAAACAUCUAAGUACCCUCAGGAGAAGAAAACAAAMGUGAUUCCGUCAGUAGCGGCGAGCGAAAGCGGAACAGCCCAAACCAAGGGGCUUGCCCCUUGGGGUUGUGGGACGUCAAUGUGCGAAAAGUUGGUUAGGCGAAGCAGUCUGGAAAGGCUCAUCAGAGAGGGUAACAAUCCCGUAGCUCAAAACCAACGUAUCGCUAGACGGAUCCCGAGUACCGCGAGACACGUGAAACCUCGUGGGAAGCAGGCAGGACCAUCUGCCAAGGCUAAAUACUCCCUAGCGACCGAUAGUGAAGCAGUACCGUGAGGGAAAGGUGAAAA
rnacentral:rRNA from 1 species